rnacentral:rRNA from 1 species
GACGAACGCUGGCGGCGUGCUUAACACAUGCAAGUCGAACGGUAAGGCCCCAGCUUGCUGGGGUACACGAGUGGCGAACGGGUGAGUAACACGUGGGUGACCUGCCCCGCACUUCGGGAUAAGCCUGGGAAACUGGGUCUAAUACCGGAUAGGACCGCACCGUGAGGGUGUGGUGGAAAGUUUUUCGGUGUGGGAUGGGCCCGCGGCCUAUCAGCUUGUUUGUGGGGUAAUGGCCUACCAAGGCGGCGACGGGUAGCCGGCCUGAGAGGGUGGACGGCCACAUUGGGACUGGGACACGGCCCAGACUCCUACGGGAGGCAGCAGUGGGGAAUAUUGCACAAUGGGCGGGAGCCUGAUGCAGCGACGCCGCGUGGGGGAUGACGGCCUUCGGGUUGUAAACUCCUUUCACCAUCGACGAAGGUUUUCUGACGGUAGAUGGAGAAGAAGCACCGGCUAACUACGUG